rnacentral:rRNA from 1 species
UACGUAGGUGGCAAGCGUUGUCCGGAAUUAUUGGGCGUAAAGCGCGCGCAGGUGGUUUCUUAAGUCUGAUGUGAAAGCCCACGGCUCAACCGUGGAGGGUCAUUGGAAACUGGGGGGACUUGAGUACAGAGGAGAAGAGUGGAAUUCCACGUGUAGCGGUGAAAUGCGUAGAGAUGUGGAGGAACACCAGUGGCGAAGGCGGAUCUCUGGGCCGAUACUGACGCUGAGGAGCGAAAGCGUGGGGAGCGAACAGG